CGAGAGGUUGGCGCGGGCAGGCGUCUCGCCAACCUGGUCAGGUCCGGAAGGAAGCAGCCACAACGAGUCCCGUCUGGGUCGUCGUCCAGCCUCUCACCC
rfam:Jannaschia seosinensis strain CECT 7799 genome assembly, contig: 0085